AGGAAGACCCUGGCCUCCAUCUUGAAAACGGAAAAUAAAAACAGCAGACCUAUGAAGGUCGAAGGGGAAGAAAAGCUGUAUCGAUUGUUGAGAUCUGGCGACUUGUUUAAAUUUCAUCAGCCUCACUUCUAUGAACUCUCAGGACAAACUGCAAAAGAGUCGCAUCGAGUUGAGACUUCUCCAAGGGCCAUGGGGUUGACAUCUGUAUUCUCAGAGCUGAUUACCAACUCCUACCACUGUUAACCCUCAUCCAGGAAAAAGCUUAUGUCUUUAACAUUCUGAGUGGGCUUCAGCAUCCUUGCAUAUGUUCAAUUCUUAAAAACCUGUUGAAAUAAAAGAUCAGGAGACAUAGGAAGGAUGCCAGAAGAGAGCGUGGCCUCAUGUGUACCAGCUCUCUGCUCUCCUUUGCCUUGGGACGUUCCAUCCCUGGAAGUUUCCCUGCCCACAUCUUUGUAGAGAGUCCAUUCUCCAAGCUUCAGUGUGUCAUCUGUGAGGACUGUGACCAACCUGGUACAUCGCCUCAGGGCAUUCAUUUCAGGCUCCUUCUAAAUGGUCAAGGUACAGUUGACUAAAUACCGUACUUCAUUUCUGGUAUGUUUGGAGAGACAUCUGUUUUUUGCAUUUGGUCUUUCACUCUUUGUUUUUCUCCGGGAGGAUUAUA
rnacentral:lncRNA from 1 species